rnacentral:rRNA from 1 species
UACGGAGGGUGCAAGCGUUAUCCGGAUUCACUGGGUUUAAAGGGUGCGUAGGUGGGUUGGUAAGUCAGUGGUGAAAUCUCCAGGCUUAACUUGGAAACUGCCAUUGAUACUAUCAAUCUUGAAUACCGUGGAGGUCAGCGGAAUAUGUCAUGUAGCGGUGAAAAUGCAUUAGAUAUGACUAGAACAACCAAUUGCGAAAGGCAGCUGGCCUACGCGGGAU